ACCGUUCUUCGGUCAAGGGUAUACGAGUAGCUGCGCUCCCCUGCUAGAACCUCCAAACAAGCUCUCAAGGCUAGCCAUUUCUUUUGACCAACACCUUUUUUUUAAAAAAAAAAUUGCAAAAUUGGC
rnacentral:sRNA from 1 species